UGGCAACACCAUAGACUACACUAUGCACAACCAAAGGCUCUUUGAAGAGGGUGCUGUUCCCUGGCAACACCAUAGACUACACUAUGCACAACCAAAGGCUCUUUUAAGAGGGUGCUGUUCCCUGGCAACACCGUAGACUACACUAUGCACAACCAAAGGCUCUUUGAAGAGCCAUCCACAUUGCAAUAAGAGUAUUCUUCCAUUUACUUAACUAUGUCAAAUGCAGUUAUUAAAUUCACAGUUUCUUUCCCUUUGAUUUCUACUUCUCAGGUUAGGUUGUGAUGUCUGUAAAACAGAACAGGCUAUUUUAAGUCACCCAUAUUGAAACUAUGUAGAACAAUUAGACCCCCUAUAACCCACACACGCAUGUAUCAAUCUGAUUGAUGAAUUGUGUUGAGCAGUGAGCAGUCUCAAGUGUAUAACUGUGUAUAACUUUUGGCUCCUUCCAUCUGUGGCUCCUUCAAAGAACAUACAAGAGGGCCAACCAUUGAGAAUAGGAAGACACUUCAUUAUUUCUAUAACUACACUAUAUUGUUUGUUCUCGUGUGUCUGUGCAUGUUUUUCAGCAUAAAGUACUCUGCAGCCACUUAGUGUGGUGUGGACACCAGGUUAUAUCAGCUGUGUCGGUGAACCCCUCGCGCAUCUGAACUGGCUGACAGAGAGGGCACAGCAUGAUCAGAGGUAUGAUUUGAUGUGAGAGAGGAUGCCAACCCCCAGUCCCGUCAUCGUCACCUCAUCCGCUCUUAAGAUAACCUCCGGGCCGACGAGAGACACUAUGAUGUAAUUGUGAUGAACUGAGAGAAUAUUAGGGUGGCACCGUGAUUCAUUAAUCAUAUGCUGCCUUCCCUGCCCCUAUGUUCUUACCUCUUUCCCUUUCUGUCUUUUACACCUCUCUCUCCACCUCCUCUUUCUUCCUCUGUUUUUAUAAUGCACAACAGAUGUGCAUUGAAGUAAAGAUUGAACUUAUAUUUAUAAUAUAAUAUUCCAAUUAUAAUAUUUAUAAUGCAUGUAUUUAUAACACCUGGAUAAUGAUCUUCUUU
ensembl:lncRNA